UGGUGAGACUAGUUGUAGUUGUUUAGUAAUUGCAUUGCGUUCAUAUUUAUCGCUUCUGCUGUGAUUGAUUUACUAACCGUUGAUGUUUGUUUGUUUAAGUGUGGGUUGAAGGGGGAUUGUUGUUUAUUUUGGGAACUCACUGAGUAAUUUCGAUUACUCAUCCCCUCUUCUUCUAUGCAGGUAACCUUAGGAGGGAAGCUUAGAUGGCAGCGGAACAUUUGGAGUGGCAUAGGCAUAAGCAAGGACUAGCUUUUCAAUGUAUAAUUACUUUUCUUUUUUUUGGCUCUAGGCCGAGCGCUCAAACUUUGAUAUUUUGUAUUGUAUUUUUGUAAUGACACUUUCCACCUUUAAUGAAUAAAAGUUUAUUUAUAUUCGUUGUUGUGUGUUGAAUGAUAUAAGACCUUGUCCGGGUCGACACAACUCGACGAUCAUGGUACGUGUUGAAAAGCCUUAGGCCAUGGUC
rnacentral:lncRNA from 1 species